GACGGCCUGGGAGCCUGGAAGACUCAGCGCUCUAAAUGACAGUAUUGUUGGCAUGACAACAGACGAAACCAGUGGCUUAAUUUGGUGAUCCAGCAAUCACACAAUACCCGUCAGCCCCCUCUGCUCUGGCCAGGCAAUCCGAAAUCAAUCUGAACCUCCCCAAACAAUGUUGCCAUGUCACCGUACACCUGACAGCUGCAG
rnacentral:lncRNA from 12 species